rnacentral:rRNA from 1 species
GAUCCUGGCUCAGGAUGAACGCUGGCGGCGCGCCUAACACAUGCAAGUCGAACGGACGAUGGAAAGCUUGCUUUUCAAAGUUAGUGGCGGACGGGUGAGUAACGCGUGGGUAACCUGCCUCAUACAGGGGAAUAGCAGCUGGAAACGGCUGAUAAAACCGCAUAAGCGCACAGUGCCGCAUGGCACAGUGUGAAAAACUCCGGUGGUAUGAGAUGGACCCGCGUCUGAUUAGCUGGG